ensembl:misc_RNA Metazoa_SRP Metazoan signal recognition particle RNA
GCUGGGUGUGGUGGCGCAUGCCUGUAAUCCUAGCUACUUGGGAGGCUGAGGCAGGAGAAUUGCUUGAACCAGGUAGUCGGAGAUUGCAGUGAGCCAAGAUUGAGCCACUGCACUCCAGUCUGGUGACAGAGCAAAAUUCUGUCUCAA